UCUCUCUUCGUUUUCCAUACUGUUACGUAUUAAAUUUUCUUAAAUUCUUCAAUUUUCUUUCGACAAACCUCGAAUUUGUUAAACAAGCCACAAAUCCCGUUAAUUACUAGUACCAUGAAAAUCUACUUUCGACUUGCUCACGCGAAUAUCUGCGUGGUUCCAUUUCGUUCUUUUUCCAUUUUUACGUGAAUUAUGGAAGCUUUGUUGAAAGCUUGGUUGUAAAAGAAGAGCAGAAAGAGAGAGGGAGAGGGGGGGAGGGAGUGAAUGGAACACGAAUCGCGAAGUAACGAGGUUGGUUUUGGUAAAUAACAAGGACGCUGACCGGAGAAUGUUUUUGCAUUUUCAACCGUAUACGCCGUUGACACAGCAUUUUCUCCGUUAGCAAAGCGAAGGUCUUGUUUUGCAAUUCCGUCUUUUAUCCAUUACGUGGCGCAAAUCAUUCCGAUAAAAACGUAUACCAGCGAGCUAUUCAAUGAGAAUCGAAAUUGACAAAAAACCGUGCUUUUUGGUACCGCCAUUACAUCUGACAUAGCGCUUGCAUCUUUUAUAUACUUUUUACUAGCUCCUCCAUCCAGUGCAACGAUGCAAAAUCAUCGACGCGAUUCUCAAGUAACGGCCGUGCCAUUAACAGAACCAUUUUCAUAGACGGAUGACCAGGACUCCUUGCUGCUGAGACUCUUCUAUAGAUAUCCGGUCAAGUGCCGAGUCUUACCAACAAGUAUCGUGGAGAGGAGUCCCGAGACUCGAGCGUAUAAAGGAACCAGGCCAAUAAAUCUUUCGAGGAUAUAUCAGCGGAUCGUUUCGAUUUCGUGGUCAUAUUUAUGCCCCCGACGACAAAAACGUCGGCCUGAAGCGUAGCCACGCCACACAGUUGCCUGAUGCAACGACGCGCAACUUCUCGAAUAUCGAAACUUCGGUUUUCGUUGGUUCGAUCCGACCGGAGUGUCGACAGAAUAAACGAGACGAAAAAGGGGAAGAAAAGCUCGUAACCGAUCGUCCGUGAGAUCAAAGACGUGCGAUAUCGAGAGUCGAAAUCACUCUGGAUCGGCGAUUUUCAAACUUUCUCGUUUCAUCGAACGUGUAUAAACUAAUUGCCAGGAUGCUGCGACAAGAUACAAAGGCGGACGAAAGAAAGUUAUCCUUUUUCUUUUUUUAAUUUACUUAUCGCUUAUCGUGGUAAUUUAAUACAGCUAUAAUAGACUUGUUAAUUAACAAACGAUUAGUCAGUUACUAGUUUGCGAAUUCGUUUUCGUUUCAGUUUCGCAUACUUCGAUAGGCCAUGCGAAAGAUCUAUUUCGCUUGGGAAACUUGAAGUCUUUCUGCUUAUCGUGCUCGAUUCGUUAGACGCGAUCGCAUACUGUUGGGUAUUUUGAAGUAGCGCGUUGUAUCUUCGAAUUUGGUGCAGUAGGAAAGUGAAUGUUUGUUGGUGUUGCAAUGCUCACAUGAUUCAGAAUUCUGUCGGUUGGUGAGACGCGAGUAUGUAACGUUGGAGUGAACUAUGUCGGUUAUUUGUAUCUGCACCUCAAAAUUCAUACUUGCGUGCAAUGAUUACGUUAAUAGCAACUUCGUUGUAUCGAACAUUUGUCACCGUGAUGAAGACAGAGCGCGAAUCCAAGCUUUUAGGUAGACACGUUUAAAUUCCUUGUAGUAAUGGCCGCAUCGAGUAGGCAAGAUAAAAAAAAAA